rnacentral:lncRNA from 1 species
GUCUCCCUUAAUUCAAUGACCGGUUUAGCAUUACUUUCAAAGCAUCUUAUAUUAAAUUCCUUCCAUAAUUCCCAUAGCAUUGUCGCUUUUGCUAUUUUCUAUAUGAGCCUUAUUUUCUUCCCAAACCCUUCUUCCCUCUAAUUAGCAAAUAAGAUUUCAACUUGCAUAUGGAUAUCAUGUAUUCCUAGCCAUGUUAGACACCGUAAAUAUACUGAUUUUGCAUAACAACAGUUAAGAAAAAGGUGGUUUACAGAUUCGUCAUCAUCUUUACACAUAAUACAUACAUUUGUCAAGAUUUUCCUACGUUUUCUCAACAUGACAAAAGUUAAUAGUUUUCUUGGUUUCAACAACCACAAAAAAGCUCUCACCUUCAAAGGAAUGGGCUACUUCCAAAUUUUUGUUGCAUCUACAUCGGUCCAUUUAUUGCAAUCAUAAAAUUACAUAUUAUAUGUUGAGAUUGUUGUAUAUUUACUAAUGUUACUCGGUUCCCAUAUGAUUUUAUCUUCCAUUUCCAUUUAAUAGAAUUACUGUUGAAGCAUCAAUAAGCAUUGCACAUAUUCAAAAGUAACGUAACUGUCCACCCUUCUAUAGGAACAACUAAUGUCCCAAUUUCCAUUAAAGCAUCUAUCUUCAACCAUCUCAACAACCAUUUUGCUUAUUGAAUUGAUUUUAGCAAAUAAAUAAGAAAUUGAUUGUUUAAAAGCUCAUCCCAAUUCCAUUUUUUCCCAAAACUUAACAUUAUCCCCCUUACCAACCACGACCCUCAUAUAUCUUAAAAAGAAAAAUCUAUGACCCACAAUCCCUUUUGCCACGUUGCCAUGCUCCUUAUCGUCCCCAUAUUUUCCCCCAAGGUUACAUCUCAAGCGAUCAUUCCCCUUUGCACACCUCCGGCACCACUUUGUCAAUAAAGCACUAUUCAUAAGUUUCAACCUUUUAAUUCCCAUACUUCUAUCACAAAUGGGAGUGUACAUUUUUUCCUAUUUUACAAGAUUGUACCGCUUCUCAUCCUCACAUUCACCCAUAAGAAUUUUCUUAUGAUGCUAUUUGUUGAGGAUUGAUGUCUUGUAUUAUGACGAAAUAGAUUUGUCAAGAUUGAGUCAAAAUAACAACUCCGGAGGUUCGAAGGGCUCGAGGCCUGGAGGAGUGUCCGGCGCAGGUACACUCGGUUGACUUGGCCCCUGCGGGUUCUGGGGCGGUAGCCCCUGAGGAAAAUUUUGGAUAUAUCAGUACAUGAGAUUCGAUAUAUCUGGGACCUGAUAUAUAUCCGUACAAGGGUAUUUUGGUAAUUUAUACCAUCUAUUUGGGAUUUGAUAUAUAUUGUUGUGGUUGGGGGUUCAUCUAGGGUUAAGAAAGAAACGUAGAUCUCUUUGUAAUUAAAUAAAACAGAGAGGCGUGAUGAAGAGAGCGAUUGUAACC